AAAUGUGCUCAUUCUGCACUUCGAAUGAGGUGACGAAAGUCGAGUCGAAUGUGUCACCCGAUUCCCGUAGUCGAAUGCGGUGAGAAGAGUCGAUGUGAGUGAACACCAAUGAACUCUCACCGCAUUCUCAUAGUCGAUUUUGAUCGACAAACGUCGCUUUCAAGUGACGUUUGCGGGUGAGAAGAGUCGCAACCUCCAGAGGUGUCGAGAGAGAUCGAGUGUUGUUGAAAACAAAUUGCAAUACAAGUUUUUUGAACAAGCGCCGGCUGCGGUACCAAAUCUGCAGCAUCAAGUAAUCAACGAGGACAACCUGGCGCACCCAAACAGUAAAUGAGCACAACAAAUCACAGUGGAACCUCCAGAAACGGGAUCUCGGUCGAUUGCCGGAUGGGAUCAAGUCUCCAAAUCAACAUGGUAGGUCUGGUAGGUUGUGCAGUUCCAGAAGGUCCAAAAUUUCAAAUGGUUGGAUCGCUAUGAGAUAACGCAGAUCGAGGAUGACAACGGAUUACCCACAAAAGAGCCGGUAAAGAUUAGCUAACCGAAAAGGCCCAUAAGCUAAACAAUACGUCGUGAACUAUCUGAAAAUCAGCCUUCAACAAUCAAGCCUCAAACUGGAAAAUAGAUCGAUCCCGGCCGUUUUCCUACCAACGUCCUUCGGCACUCGACAGAACUUGCUAACGAAAAUAUCAAACGACACUUGUGGCCUAACAUCGAUGAACUACGGUUACUGUUGAAGAGGCCACACCGUUGAUCCAUCAGAACCAGCGGCUAUGGUCGGUGGCCCACUUUCGCAACAACCACGCCGAGUUGGCCCAGGAUCUUCGAGAAUUGUUGUCAUCCUGCGAACUGGCAUCCGGCACAUUACCUACUGGCAGCACGUUGCGCCGUGACGGCUGCGGACCACCUGUGUUCUGAGCAACGACCCGAGUAGCGAUUCGGUUGCCACCGAUGGGGUGCGUAUAAAACAUGUCGUCCAAUGACGACGAUGACGACGUAACGAAAAGUUCUCAUCUUAUCAAAAUCAUCCCGAUACCAAAGCUUGCUGUACCGGAAGGGCAUCCAGGUGGCGGUAUAUGCCCGGUGAAGUAACUCAAAUGAAUCAUGAGGAUGAUCGGACCAGCAGGAAAGGCCGUAAAAUCGGUAUCUAGAAGUUCGUGAACGUCUGCUUGUGGAAGCUGCUUAUGCGCAUCACAAAUCUCAAUGGAUAUGAUGCCGCGAUGUUUACGCGGAGUGUAAUUUCAGCAAAUGAAUUUCAAAAUUAUAAUCUUGAAUAAAUUUAAUCAUGUUUUAACUU